GCCUGGGUGGCUCAGUUGGUUGAGCAUCUGACUUCGGCUCAGGUCACGAUCUCACAGUUUGUGGGUUCGAGCCCCGCAUCAUGUU
rfam:Felis catus isolate Cinnamon breed Abyssinian chromosome E1, whole genome shotgun sequence.